rfam:Gossypium hirsutum cultivar TM-1 chromosome 12, whole genome shotgun sequence
UGUUAAAAUUUUGAUCCAUUUAUACGAUUAAAAACUUAUAUGGUUGACGAAAUAAUCAUACAUUAACAUGUGACGUAUCCAUGUAUCUCAUAUUGACAUAUAAAGACUAAUUUUUAAUAAUAGAAAUAAAUAAAAUUUUUAACA